GGUGUGCUCCGAUUGGCUCGUCCCUGCUGCCGGCAAUGCUCUCCUGGCCUUAAUUGGCCGGGUCGUGCCUCCCGCGCUUUUACUUUGAAGAAAUUAUAGUGCUCAAAGCAAGCCUACGCUCUGAAUACAUUAUUCCGGGAUAACAUCAAAAGAUUCCCAUCCUAUUGUGUUGGCCUUCGGGAUCUGAGUAAUGAUUAACAGGGACAGUCGGGGGCAUUCAUAUUUCAUAGUCAGAGGUGAAAUUCUUGUAUUUAUGAGAGACGAACAACUGCUAAAGCUUUUGCCAAGGAUGUUUUCAUUAAUCAAGAACGAAAGUUGGGGGCUCGAAGACGAUCAGAUACCGUCCUAUCUCUCAACCAUAAACUAUGCAUACCAGGGAUCAGCGGAUGUUGCUUUUAGGACUCCGCUGGCACCUUAUGAGAAAUCAAAGUUUUUUGGUUCCGGGGGGAGUAUGGUCCCAAGGCUGUAACUUAAAGGAAUUGACGGAAGGGCACCACCAGGAGUGGAGCAUGCGGCUUAAUUUGACUCAACACGGGGAAACUUACCAGGUCCAGACAUAGUAAGGAUUGACAGACUGAGAGCUCUUUGGUGAAAGUCUGGGUGGUGGGGCAUGCCCGUUUUAAGGUGGUGGAGCGAUUUGUCUGGUUAAUUCCCCUACCGAACGAGACCUCAGCCUGCUAAGAACAUCUGUGGAGGUACACCUCCACGGCCAGCUUCUUAGAGGGACUAUGGC
rnacentral:rRNA from 1 species